GCUUGGGCCGGCCCUGUCUCACGGUUUCAGCUUAUGUUCUACGGUUUCAGCUUCUGUUUUGGCUUCUAACGGCAACCUCUCUGUCUUCCUUCCUUCUCCUCCUCACAUCUAUAUAAAUACUGACAUAAGUGGGGUGGUUCAGUUGAGGUAUCCCUACAUUCCAAUUUCUUUUAUGCUCUGUUCUUUUGCUUGAUGGUUAUGAUUUUCUAGCUAUAUUGAAUCUAUAUAUUAAAUUUGUCACCUUUUACUAUUUCGUGCUAUGCUCUAUUCUCUCUCUCUUUUUUUUCUUUUUUUUUUUCCCUUUCUACGUUUGUUUCUGCCUAGGGUGUUGAAUUUAUUAUUUCUGGGUUACUUAAUUGGAGCACUGCUUCUUUUGGGUAUGUUCAUUAUGAUUUUCUAGCUAUAUUGAAUCUAUAUAUUAAAUCUGUCAUCUUUCUUAUUAAUCUUAUUUUUCCACUUGUUGGUUGGUUUCUCACUGUCCCAAAAAGCCAACAGUAUGAUUUUGAAUUCUAGAUUCUAUAUUUUAUUAUGCGAAUUGGAAGGUUUAACAUCAAUUAAGACAAAUAUCAUGUGCUUUCUUAUGAUAUAAAAGCCAUGAAAGAGUUGGGUUUUUGGCUUUACACUGUUCAUGGAAUAAUUUAAUUAGUUUUGUAGUUUCGUACAUUUGAUAGUCUUCAAUUUGUUUGUUCUGCCUAUUUGUUAUGUUAUUGUAGUUGUUUGUUGUGUUACAGGAACUGUUCAAUGUGUAAAUAAGUUGUAUAUUUCUGUUUUAAACUAUUAAUUUCUUUUAUUUAUAAUAACAAUUGUUAAUAUCUUAGACAUUAUUCAGAAGAAAAAAAUAAAAUCCUAUAUCUUAGACAUUGAUACAUGAGGUGUGGAUUUCUGACUUGGCUUUGAUUGUUUGAACUAUUUGAUGUGCUCAUCCCACACUUAGGAUUGUUCAUUAUCGGUUUUAUGGUACAUUCUAAUGUUGAAAUUUUGUGCACACCAUGUGUUUGACAAAAUGUAUUACUUACUCUUGCAUUAGUUUAUAUCCACUUCAUGGUUUGUGCCUGUUGGUUUUAGUUGCCAUUGGUCAUUGCAUUUUUUCUAACGUGCAUUUAUGCAUACUAUGUCAUCAACAUAAGUGGCAAUUUAGUACUAUGUACACUAGAACUUUCCAUCAUCAAAACCCAAGUUGCAACAUUAGAAAAUUUAAUAAUCUUCUUAAAUAGAAAUGAAUUAUGGACUAUACCUUCUUUAUUAAUAUAUGUAUAUAACUAAACAGCUACAACUUUAAAUUUGAUUGAGAUCAUCUAGAUAGACAUGUUUUAUAAAUUAAUUGUGGUAAAGUGAAACAAAAAAUUAUAUCUAAUUAUAUGUAGCCAUUCUUGGACCUCAUACUCCUAUUAAUGGCCCGCAUCUUUCCUAAAUAUCUAAGUCAAGUCAAUUACAUUUCAAAUGUAUGCAAUUCAUAUCACUUCCUGGUGGUAGUUUCUUAUUUGAUGUGUUGUUUAAGAAAAUAGGGCAAUGAUUAGUGAAGGAAAAGACAAUUCAAUUUUGGUUAGUGGAGAUAGAGGUGCUGGUAAAAUUGAGACAACAAAGAUGCUCAUGAGAUAUCUUGCACACUUAGGCGGGCAAUCUGUAGUAGAAGGACGCACAGUUGGAUUUCAAAUUUUCCUAAAUGAGUAUAUGCUUGGCAUAUUAUCAAAAGAAUUAAGUAAGAAUCAAGGUUAAUGUCCACAUUGACCUUUAAUAUCACAGUCCAACCCAGUUCUUAAGGCCUUUGGCAAUGCCAAAACAAUUCAAAACAACAACUCAAGGUUUUUAUUAGUUUUCCAUGGUUUGCUUUUCAAUGAAGACUAUCUUUACACUUUUAUUUCUUUCAUUUCAAUUAUACAUACUGCAUAUAUAUAUUUCUUGAUUAUGCAUAUGUUUUAGGUAUCUCUGUUUGAACUUCUCAUUAUAAUGUCUCUUUCAUGUCAUAGUGACAUUAUUAUGUAGAUAUAGUUGGGCAGAAAUUAGAACGAAUCUGCUAGAAAGUUCGCCUGUUUGCUAGAUUACCAAUUCAGAAAGAAAAUACCAUUGCUUUUACCUCCUAUGUGCCACACCACUUGAGGGAGGAUUUGAUAUGAUCUGCAGUGGGAGAGACAAGAUUGAAACUCUAGAGCAUUUAAGCAAGCAGAAGAAACAGCAUUGAAGCUUGAUUUGGACAGGCGUUAAUAUGUUUUUACUUAUGUAGUGAGCCACAUCAAGUGCAGUUUCUACUCAUUAUAAUGUCUAUCAAUAUUGUAUGCAUUGUUUGAGGACUCAGGCUAUAUUGUAAAGCUGUUUGUACCAUAAAAUUGUUCAUUUCCCUGCCUUUGUAUUGAUUAAUAACAGCAGCUAGAUAAAUGUGUGGCCUAGCAAAAUGCCACAUGUUGAAGUUAUCAUUUCUUUAAACUUUAAAGUUCACCUGUUAAGGCAACAUGGAGCAGUUGUAAGUUAUUAAUGAAAAGAGAAUAUGGACGCAUUGAUAUAGGUGAGUGAGUAAUGGGGAUACUUUGUCCUGGACAAUGGGAAUUAAAUUGCGGGAACCAUGAUUGGGGCUAGGGGGUUUGGUGUCAUGGUGAAGAACAAGUUUUUAUUUAAUU